rnacentral:misc_RNA from 1 species
UCAAACUUGGUCAUUUAGAGGAAGUAAAAGUCGUAACAAGGUUUCCGUAGGUGAACCUGCGGAAGGAUCAUUACAGAGCGUGAGGCUCAGUCGUGGCAUCUGCUGCGUGCUGGGCCGACCCUCCCACCCGUGUCGAUUUGUAUCUUGUUGCUUUGGCGGGCCGGGCCGCGUCGUCGCUGCCCCGCAAGGACAAGCGUCGGCCGCCCACCGGUUUCGGCUGGAGCGCGCCCGCCAAAGACCCCAUCAAAACUCAUGUUGUUUAUGUCGUCUUAGCUUUAUUAUUGAAAUUGAUAAAACUUUCAACAACGGAUCUCUUGGCUCUGGCAUCGAUGAAGAACGCAGC